CCCCUCUUCGCCGCCUGCUCUGCUCUCCCAGGCACUACUGAGCGCGCUCGCGGUCGCCAGGAGCGGAUUGGGCCCCCGCCGCGCGCAAGCCUUGGUGACAGGGGAUGGCGCGGAGCUGCCUCUCCGGGAAAGUUGGAUCUGUGCGCCCAGACAUGGAAAAGGGAUUAGGACACCGGCAGAUCUUGCCCUCACAGAGCGGAGGUGGGGGCCUUGGAAGGGGCACACCGCCCGUAGGCGCGAAAUCCAAGAAGAAAAUGACACUCAUCAGCCAGCCUCGCGCGGGGAGAAAGGGCGGGGUGGGGGGUAGUGGCACCCUGCCCGUCCUCUCCCACCCCCACAGUCCGGGCCCACAGUCCAGGAGUCACAAGGGAUGUGAAUCCCCAGGCAUAAUGUGAACCCCCAACAAACCCAAGGCCUCAGAAUGCGCCUCACCUCUCCCUCCCCACCAGCAGAAACAUCCUCCCACUCUCCCAACCCCUGCUCCAGCCACGCCAACCCUUUAACCUUGUCCCAGAAUGUCUAAACUGUAUCUGCCUCUGUGCCUGUGCACAUGAAGUUGCCUUGGCCCGGCGUUUGCUCCACAGCCUUCUGCCAAACUCCUACUGCUUGAUGGCUGGAAGCCUUCGCACCCUGGCGCUCUCCUCCCAGGUCAGCAGUCACUGGCCUUCCUGUGCAUCCAGCCCAGCUUUGAACAGUCCUGGGCCCCAACCCUUAUCUUUUUCCGAGUAAUUACAUGGUUGCAUGAUUGGCUUCACCGCCUCUGGAUCAGAUGAGCGCUACUAAUGAAGGAUACAAGUUGUAAAACUAGGUUUUAUGUGAACUCCAGUCAUCACAGUUUAGGUGCGGCUAGCGAUUUUACAGAUGCGGGGUUAGUAACUGGCCCAAAUCCAGGGCUUCCGGGAUGCUGUUUUCCUUUUUUGUUUCUUAGCAGGGAUGGCAGAUGUUUGUAGAACAGAUCCGUGUAAAAGUCAGUAUCCUAAGAGAUUAAAUUGUAAAGCAGGACAAGAUA